ACCAGCGACGAUAGCACGCUGAAUGCACCAGUUCUAGGAUCACUGAAGUUAAGCAACGUUGCACGUGGUCAGUACCUGGAUGGUGACCAUCUGGGGAAUCGCGUGCUGCUGGGC
rnacentral:rRNA from 1 species